GACGGAGGGGGCGAGCGUUGUUCGGAAUUACUGGGCGUAAAGGGCGCGUAGGCGGUUCGCUUAGUCAGGCGUGAAAGCCCUGGGCUCAACCCGGGAAUGGCGCUUGAGACGGGCGAACUCGAGUUCGGGAGAGGUGAGUGGAAUUCCCAGUGGAGAGGUGAAAUUCGUAGAGAUUGGGAAGAACACCAGCGGCGAAGGCGGCUCACUGGACCGACACUGACGCUGAAGCGCGAAAGCGUGGGGAGCAAACAGG
rnacentral:rRNA from 1 species